rnacentral:rRNA from 1 species
CCUACGGGAGGCAGCAGUGAGGGAUAUUGGUCAAUGGCCGAGCGGCUGAACCAGCCAAGUCGCGUGAGGGAAGACGGCCCUACGGGUUGUAAACCUCUUUUGUCGGGGAGCAAAGCGAGUCACGUGUGACUCCUUGCGAGUACCCUAAGAAAAAGCAUCGGCUAACUCCGUGCCAGCAGCCGCGGUAAGACGGAGGAUGCGAGCGUUAUCCGGAUUUAUUGGGUUUCAAGGGUGAGCAGUCGGAGUUGCAAGUCAGCGGUCAAAUUGCGGGGCUCAACCCCGUACUGCCGUUGAAACUGCAUCCCUUGAGUGCGCGAGAAGUAGGCGGAAUGCGUGGUGUAGCGGUGAAAUGCAUAGAGAUCACGCAGAACUCCGAUUGCGAAGGCAGCAUACCGGAGCGCAACUGACGCUCAUGCACGAAAGCGUGGGUAUCGAACAGGAUUAGAUACCCGGGUAGUC